GCAUCGAUGAAGAACGCAGCGAAACGCGAAAGGUAAUGCAAAUUGCAGAUCAGUGAGUCAUCGAAUAUUUGAACGCACAUUGCGCCUCUCGGUAUUCCGGGAGGCACGCCUGUUCGAGCGCCAUUACACCGUCCAAGCUGCGGCUUGAAGUUGGGUUCGGCUGCGGUCCGAGAGGACGGCGGCGGGCCUGGAAGGCGUGGGCGGCGGAGGGCAGACCGCGAGCGUAGCAAGACGAGAGUCACCCGCUCGGACGGAUCUGGCGGACGCCUGUCGACGAGUCGACGCCAGGAGGGGGGCGCAAGCACCCAGCCGCGACGACGCAACACACACGAGUUUGGCCUCGGAUCAGGCGGGGAUACCCGCUGAACUUAAGCAUAUCAAUAAGCGGAGGA
rnacentral:rRNA from 1 species